rnacentral:tRNA from 1 species
GCGGGUGUGGUGAAAUUGGCAGACACGCAAGAUUUAGGUUCUUGUGCCGUAAGGCGUGCAGGUUCAAGUCCUGUCACCCGCA